rnacentral:lncRNA from 1 species
UUGAGCCAUUUCAAACAGAUCAUGAGGCAGAUUCAGAUGAGGAAGAGGAGGGCGAGUGUAAAAAACUAACUUCAGAUUCUGAAUGUGAGGAACAGAAACCGGAGGAAAUCAAAGAAAGGGAAACCGAAAAAGGUCCUAAUAAGAGAUGAAGAACAAUGAAGAUAUCGUGAAAAAUAUUUUGCUUCCCUGCCUUCAUACAAUCCUCUAACAGUCAAAAAUGUAUCUGCAGCGCCCAGUAAGGCCAACUGAUGACUCAAACACAACCCCCCAAGGGUGUCCUUAUGCCCUUCCAUUGCUUAAAAUAAAGAGCUCGGGGGUCACUUACGGAAAUCAAUGGAAUCUUGCUCUGUCACCCAGGCUGGAGUGCAAUGGCAU